GGAAGGAUCAUUACAGAAUCGUCAACGGGUUGUUGCUGGUCCUCGAACGGGGACACGUGCACGCUCUGUUUACACAUCCACUCACACCUGUGCACCCUCCGUAGUUCUGUGGUCUGGGGGACCCUGUCUUCCUGCCGUGGUUCUACGUCUUUACACACACACUGUAAUAAAGUCUUAUGGAAUGUAUGCCGCGUCUAACGCAAUACAAUACAACUUUCAGCAACGGAUCUCUUGGCUCUCGCAUCGAUGAAGAACGCAGCGAAAUGCGAUAAGUAAUGUGAAUUGCAGAAUUCAGUGAAUCAUCGAAUCUUUGAACGCACCUUGCGCCCCUUGGCUAUUCCGAGGGGCAUGCCUGUUUGAGUAUCAUGAACACCUCAACUCUCAUGGUUCGCCGUGAUGAGCUUGGACUCUGGGGGUUUUGCUGGCCCGCGGUCGGCUCCCCUCAAAUGAAUCAGCCUCCCAGUGUUUGGUGGCAUCACGGGUGUGAUAAAUAUCUACGCUCGCGGUUGUCCGCCAGGUAACCUUUGGCGACAAAGGUUCGCUGGAGCUCACAGAUGUCUCUCCUCAGCGAGGACAGCUUUUUGAACGUUCGAUCUCAAAUCAGGUAGGACUACCCGCUGAACUUAAGCAUAUCAAUAAGCGGAGGAA
rnacentral:sRNA from 1 species